rnacentral:siRNA from 1 species
GAAGCUUUUGACCAGAGUGGA